rnacentral:rRNA from 1 species
AUUGAACGCUGGCGGCAGGCCUAACACAUGCAAGUCGAGCGGAGCGGCGGACGGGUGAGUAAUGCCUAGGAAUCUGCCUGGUAGUAGGUGAUAACGUACGGAAACGGGCGCUAAUACCGCAUACUAUCAGAUGAUCCUAGGUCGGCUUAGCUAGUAGGUGGGGUAAAGGCUCACCUAGGCCACGAUCUCUCGCUGGUCUGAGAGGAUGAUCAGCAACACUGGGACUGAGACACGGACCAGACGCCUACGGGAGGCAGAAGUGGGGAAUAUUGCACAAUGGGCGAAAGCCUGAUGCAGACAUGCCGCGUGUAUGAAGAAGGCCUUAGGGUUGUAAAGUACUUUCAGUGGGGAGGCGUUACCCGAAGAAGAAGCACCGGCUAACUCCGUGCCAGCAGCCGCGGUAAUUC